rnacentral:rRNA from 1 species
AUUGAACGCUGGCGGCAGGCCUAACACAUGCAAGUCGAACGAGUGGCGGACGGGUGAGUAAUGUCUGGGAAACUGCCCGAUGGAGGGGGAUAACUACUGGAAACUGUAGCUAAUACCGCAUACUAUCGGAUGUGCCCAUAUGGGAUUAGCUUGUUGGUGGGGUAACGGCUCACCAAGGCGACGCCCCCUAGCUGGUCUGAGAGGACGACCAGCCACACUGGAACUGAGACACGGCCCAGACUCCUACGGGAGGCAGCAGUGGGGAAUAUUGCACAAUGGGCGCAAGCCUGAUGCAGCCAUGCCGCGUGUAUGAAGAAGGCCUUCGGGUUGUAAAGUACUUUCAGCGGGGAGGCGUUACCCGCAGAAGAAGCACCGGCUAACUCCGUGCCAGCAGCCGCGGUAAUUC